GUAGCAAAAUCAUUUGUUUUUUAAUUGAAAACUGGAAUGAAAGGCUUAACAAACACACAAUUUUUUAUUUUUAGAUGUUAUAAUUUUUAAUUUACGUAAAAAUACGUAAAUGAGUUUAAGGGACGAUAAGACCCUAAAAGCUUUAUUAUUUAAAUUUUUGUUAUUAUUUAGAUUUGAUUGUUUAAUGUAUUUUAACUGGGGCGGUUGUUUUUUUAACAAAAAUUUUUUUUACAAAUAGGAUUAAAGAUCCUUGAAAUUAGGAUAGAUUGUUUAAGUUACUUUAGGGAUAACAGCGUUAUAAUAAUAGGGAGACCUUAUUUAUAUUGUUGAUUGCGACCUCGAUGUUGAAUUAAAUUUUUCUAUAUAAAGCAGAAAUUAUAUAUGAAAGUUUGUUCAACUUUUAAAUUUUU
rnacentral:rRNA from 1 species